rnacentral:rRNA from 1 species
AUUGAACGCUGGCGGCAUGCCUUACACAUGCAAGUCGAACGGCAGCACGGGAGCAAUCCUGGUGGCGAGUGGCGAACGGGUGAGUAAUAUAUCGGAACGUGCCCAGUCGUGGGGGAUAACGUAGCGAAAGCUACGCUAAUACCGCAUACGAUCUAUGGAUGAAAGCGGGGGAUCGCAAGACCUCGCGCGAUUGGAGCGGCCGAUAUCAGAUUAGGUUGUUGGUGGGGUAAAAGCUCACCAAGCCUGCGAUCUGUAGCUGGUCUGAGAGGACGACCAGCCACACUGGAACUGAGACACGGUCCAGACUCCUACGGGAGGCGAGCAGUGGGGAAUUUUGGACAAUGGGCGCAAGCCUGAUCCAGCAAUGCCGCGUGCAGGAUGAAGGCCUUC